CACCGGCACUCUGGAAAGCGCCCUGCCUGGCAGGGCCACCGAAGGUGUAAGCGCGGGCAUUCCCCGCGUCAGGCUCUCAGGUUUUCCCGACAGAGGGGGUGUG
rnacentral:ncRNA from 2 species